rnacentral:sRNA from 1 species
AAUCUCCAAUUUUGUAUAACUUGUUUGUCUUUAAAGCAGUGUUCAAGAAAUCGUUAGACGCUUAGCGGACGGUGAACCAAUGCCUAGCGCCUAAGACGUUUAAUCGGACCUAAGCGAUUUUAGGCAGUUAAAGCGUUUAUAAUAUAAACAUUAUAAAUAUGAUUUUAUACAUAAAUAUUAUAUAAAAUAU